rnacentral:rRNA from 1 species
AGUGAACGCUGGCGGCGUGCCUAAUACAUGCAAGUCGAACGAAGUGGCGCGCGGGUGAGUAAUAUAUAGUUAAUCUGCCCUCCACAGAGGAACAACAGUUGGAAACGACUGCUAAUACCUCAUAGUGUAGGAUGAGACUCUAUCGUAUCAGCUAGUUGGUAAGGUAAUGGCGUACCAAGGCGAUGACGCGUAACUGGUCUGCGAGGAUGAUCAGUCACAUUGGAACUGAGGCACGGUCGAAACUCCUACGGGAGGCAGCAGUAAGGAAUAGUGCGCAAUGGGGGAAAACCAGACGCAGCAACGCCGCGUGGAGGAUGACACUUUGCGGAGCGGAAACUCAGUUUAUCAGGAAAGCGGUAACUGAUGAAUAAGCACCGGCUAACUCCGUGCCAGCAGCCGCGGUAAUUC